rnacentral:rRNA from 1 species
AACGAGCGCUGGCGGCAUGCCUAACACAUGCAAGUCGAACGAGACCUUCGGGUCUAGUGGCGCACGGGUGCGUAACGCGUGGGAACCUGCCCUUAGGUUCGGAAUAACUCCCCGAAAGGGGUGCUAAUACCGGAUAAUGUCUUCGGACCAAAGAUUUAUCGCCUUUGGAUGGGCCCGCGUUGGAUUAGCUAGUUGGUAGGGUAAAAGCCUACCAAGGCGACGAUCCAUAGCUGGUCUGAGAGGAUGAUCAGCCACACUGGGACUGAGACACGGCCCAGACUCCUACGGGAGGCAGCAGUGGGGAAUAUUGGACAAUGGGCGAAAGCCUGAUCCAGCAAUGCCGCGUGAGUGAUGAAGGCCUUAGGGUUGUAAAGCUCUUUUACCCGGGACGAUAAUGACAGUACCGGGAGAAUAAGCUCCGGCUAACUCCGUG